UCUUAUCAAGAGUGGUGGAGGGACAUGGCCCGAUGAAACCCGGCAACCAGUUAGAAAUAACUACGGUGCCAAUUCCUGCAAAAUAUUAAUCGAUUUAAUAUUUUGCCAGAUAAG
rnacentral:ncRNA from 1 species